UACAGAGGUGGCAAGCGUUGUUCGGAAUUACUGGGCGUAAAGGGCGCGUAGGCGGUACUUCAAGUCAGGCGUGAAAUCCCCCGGCUCAACCGAGGAAUUGCGCUUCAAACCGGCGUGCUUGAGGAAGAUAGAGGUGGGCGGAACUGAUGGUGGAGCGGUGAAAUGCGUUGAUAUCAUCAGGAACACCGGAGGCGAAGGCGGCCCACUGGGUCUUUUCUGACGCUGAGGGACGAAAGCUAGGGGAGCAAACGGG
rnacentral:rRNA from 1 species